CAACACCAAUAUAGUCUGAGAAUCCUUGCACUCCCUUGUGUUGAUUUUAUUUCUGUGAAAGAGUUGUAAGAGCUGUUGCAACCAUAGAUCAGUGGCUAUGGAUAUUUGUUGGGAGAUUGCAAAGGAAAUUGGAAAGGUUCCAUGGGCACAAGUUACUUAUUCUCUGAGCCUCAAAGAAAAUGUAGAAAAUUUGAAAAGAAAAAUGGAAGAGUUGAAGAGCCUAAAGAAUGAUGUAAAGACGGAAUUGCGUAGAGGGGAGAUUCAGGUGGGAAAGAAGAGAAAGAGAGAGGUAAACUUGUGGUUGAAAAAUGUGAACAGGAUUACGAAGGAAGUUCACAGCAUAGAAGAAGAACUUCAAGAAAGGAGGUGGUUCUUGCGUUCUAAUUUGGGAAUGCUUGUAGCAAAGGCAAUCGAAGAGGUAAUCAAGCUUCAAGAGAAACACAAACUUUUCAAUGGGCUAUUGCUCGAUCUUCUUCAAGAUACUCAAAUGGCAUUUCCUGCAGCUGCAUUGGUAGGUGAAACGACAGCUAAAAAGACUUUGGAAAUGAUCUGGGAUUGCUUAAUGAAUGCCGAGAUACGCAAGAUUGGAGUCUAUGGGAUGGGGGGGGUGGGAAAAACAGCCAUUAUGAAGCACAUCAACAAUCGCCUCACAGAAACCCAAUAUUUUGAACAUGUUAUUUGGGUCACGGCUUCCAAAGCCCUUAAUUUGAAGAGGUUACAAGCCGAAAUUGCAAAGGCAAUUGAGUUGGAGUUUUCAAAAGAUGAAGACAACGACAGGCGGUCAAAGAAAAUCUUUGCAGCUUUGAUGCGAAGGAAGAGGUUUGUGCUCAUCUUAGAUGACAUGUGGAAAUCAUUUCCUUUAGAAAUGAUAGGAAUUCCUGAGCCAUGUGGAGAAAAUGGAUGUAAACUCAUAUUCACUACACGUGACCUCAGCCUUUGCCGAAACAUUGAAUCCCAAAGAGAUAUUAAAGUCGAUCUCCUUUCUGAAGAUGAAGCAUGGGAAUUGUUCGAGGAAAAAGUUGGCGGUGAAGCUGUGAUUUCUCCAUGCAUGCGAGAUGUUGCAAAGUGUGUCAGUGAUGAAUGUGGUCGUUUGCCGCUCACGAUUGUCAUGGUAGGACGAGCUUUGAGGCACCAAACUGAUGUGAGGGUGUGGAGUGACACAUUGAAUGAAUUGAAACAUUCGGCUCUCAAAAUUAAAUGCAUGGAAGAUGAUGUCUUUGAGCGUCUAAAAAUCAGUUAUGAUCGUCUAAGAAGUGACCAGAUUCGAGCUUAUUUCUUGUAUUGUGCUUUAUACCCAAAGUGUUUUGCCAUCCCCACUAAAGAGCUAAUAGAUUACUGGAUUUGGGAGGGCCUAAUAGACGAAAUGGGCAACAGAGAAGUUGAGAUCAACAGGGGGCAUAAGAUAUUGAGUGAGCUGAAAUACGCUAGCAUGUUAGAAGGCGGUGUUGAUGAAUAUAACGUCGAAUACGUUAAGAUGCAUGAAUUAGUUAGGGAUCUGGCCAUUGAUAUCACGAGAAGUAGACCUCGUUUCAUGAUAAAAGCAGGUGUUGAAUUAAAAGAAUCACCGCAAGAACAGGAAUGGGCAGAGGAUGCAGAAAGGAUCUCAUUGAUGCAAAACUCCAUCAAAAUGCUCUCAGGUCAGCCCAAUUGUUCAAAACUCUCAACAUUGCUGUUGCAAAACAACUGUGUCUUACAGAACAUUCCGCAGUCGUUCUUUGAGCACAUGUGCAGCCUCAAAGUUCUCAACCUGUCUCAUACUAACAUCGAGUCGCUGCCAGCGUCAGUUUCUGAUUUGGGAGGCCUCCAUGCACUGCUAUUAGGUUCUUGUUGGAGAUUAAGGAGUUUGCCCUCAUUGGAAAAGCUGAAGGCACUAAGGGUGUUGGAUCUCUCGUCGACUCUCAUCGAACAAUUGCCGCAAGGGAUGGAACAAUUGGUUAAACUCAGACGUCUUGACCUGUCGUGGACAUUAAAACUUCGAAUGCUUCAAGCUGGGGUCAUAUCCAACCUUCCUCUUCUUGAAGACCUGGAACUGUACGGAAGUGGAUGGAGAUUGACAUCAAAUUCGAUAGGAGCUGACCUGAAGGAACUUACAAGUCUAGGAAGGUUGGUAAAUCUGAGUCUCCACUUUACAGACUUACGAAGCUUCAGUAGCUACGUCGCAUCACGGCAUUGGCAACAGCUGAAACAUUUCUCCCUUGUUGUGGGGCCGGCUCCUGAAAAUUCCCCUCGUCCCUUGGUUUGUUCUAUUGAAAUACACGAUGGUGAUCUCACUAGUCAAGCGACCUCCAUAGUCCUCCCAAAUAACCCAAGGAAUCUACGCAUUACUCAUUUAUCGGAAUUAGAGGGCUUACUGAAUUUGAGAGAGUUGAAAGAAUGUGAAAUUUACAAAUGCUACGGGAUGGAUUGCAUUUUGAUGAUGAAAGAGAACACCUUGCCAACGUUGGAGAAGUCAGUUCUGUGGGAGUUGCCGUGUUCAAGGACCAUCUGCAAAGGGUUUGUGCCAGAUGGCACCUUUGCAAGCCUUAGGUCUUUGGACAUCGAAGGAUGUCAUGAUUUGAAGAGCUUAUUCUCACUUGGGUUGCUGCAGAAAUUGUCGAAUCUUGAAGUAAUUAAAGUUCAGUAUUGCAGGCAUAUGGAAGGUUUGGAAGCUAGAGAAGAAGAGAUGGAUGAAGAUGACAACAACAAUGAUGCUAUUACACUCCCAUGCUUAACAGCGAUGUGUUUGAUAGGUUUACCAGAGCUGAAGAGCAUUUGUAAGAAGGCUAUGGUUUGUACCUGUCUAACCACAAUUGUUAUAAGAAAUUGUCCUCAACUUGAGAAGCUCCCUUUCUCAGCCAACAACUUACCACCGGAUCAGAGAGGAGACAUUGAAGGAAGUAGAGAGUGGUGGGAUUCAUUGGAUUGGGACCAUCACAACACCAAGAUCCUCUUCCAACCUCUUUUCAAAGAAACAGAGGAACUAGAGCUGGUCUCAAUCUAAGCAGGGAAUCAUGGACUAAGUACACAAGCUACAAGCUGGAAUCAAAAGGCCGUUCCUGCAGAAGGUCCCAUAAUACAUGGUUCAUGUGGAGAAGAAUGGCUAGUGUCGUGGGUUUGCUCCCCACGGAUUGAUCAUCAUGUUCUCUCUAUAUAAAGUUGUGAACCAAGAUUGCAAGGCGAGUUUUAUCAUGAAAAAUGUUGGGGGUCAAUGGAAAAUCAGGCUUGGGAAGAACAUCUCUACUCAGCUGCUAGUUAGAUGAUAAAUGCUGCAUGGCAAGAGAUAGAAGAUGUGAUUCGGCGGCGUAUGAGUCAACAUGUCAAAACUUGUGUGAGAUUUGGUUAGUCUUCAGGUGGGGAUCACCACCCUAAACAUGUUCGUUGCUCAAAGAUCAAGGUCCACACAUCAGGUGGGCUACAUGGGUAUCUCGACCAAUGGUAAGCUUUGUUCCAAACAUCCAUUUUUUUUUUUCUCUUCCGCACAUGAAUUAGCCUGAUUUUGGGCUAGUGCGUGCUGAAGUGAUUCCACUUUUAGAAUGAUCCGAUCAUUCACAUGCACUACACUGCCAUGUGUGCUGGAUGUUGAUCUUCUGUCACACAUACAAAUCUAUUUAGAGGUUUGGGUUGCUGUGUGUGCCUGGCUAUAGAGAUCUUAUAUCUUUUAUUUUCAUAAUCCAUGUAAGAAACUACGUAGAUGCGGUGAUGCCCCAUCUUUAAUGUCCUGUAUGCAUUCAUCUUUCUCAAUGGAAAACUUUCCAAACUUUGGGACUUUUUGCUA